GCUGGGCGUGGUGGGGUGUGCCUGUGGUCUCAGCUACUCAGGAGGCUGAGGUAGGAGGAUUGCUUGAGCCCAGGAGGUUGAGACUGCAGUGAGCCAUGAUCAUGCCACUGCACUCCAGCCUGGGCAACAGAGCGAGACCCUGUCUCAA
ensembl:misc_RNA Metazoa_SRP Metazoan signal recognition particle RNA